AACGAACGCUGGCGGCAUGCCUAACACAUGCAAGUCGAACGAGACCUUCGGGUCUAGUGGCGCACGGGUGCGUAACGCGUGGGAACCUGCCCUUAGGUUCGGAAUAACUCCCCGAAAGGGGUGCUAAUACCGGAUAAUGUCUUCGGACCAAAGAUUUAUCGCCUUUGGAUGGGCCCGCGUUGGAUUAGCUAGUUGGUAGGGUAAAAGCCUACCAAGGCGACGAUCCAUAGCUGGUCUGAGAGGAUGAUCAGCCACACUGGGACUGAGACACGGCCCAGACUCCGACGGGAGGCAGCAGUGGGGAAUAUUGGACAAUGGGCGAAAGCCUGAUCCAGCCAUGCCGCGUGAGUGAUGAAGGCCUUAGGGUUGUAAAGCUCUUUUACCCGGGAUGAUAAUGACAGUACCGGGAGAAUAAGCUCCGGCUAACUCCGU
rnacentral:rRNA from 1 species